GGUUCACUUCUCUUGAUGCUUUUGCUUUUUCCUAAAACCACCCUCCCUUCUUUCCUUUCUUGCUUCUUUCCUUCCUUCCUUCCUUCCUUUCCUUCCUUCCUCCCUCCCUUUCCUUCCUUCCUCCCUCCCUCCUCCCUUCCUUUCUUUCUUCCUCCCUUCCUUCCACCAGCCUCAGUGUCACUAGCUUCCAAAAACUGUACUAAUAUCCUAAGGCUACUGUAACAAAGUACCACACAAACAGGAGGCUUAAAACAACAGUAACCUCUUGUCUCACUGUUUUGGAGGCUAGACAUCUGAAAUCAAGGUGUCUUCAGGGCACGCUCCCACUGAAACCUGGAGGAAUCAUGCCUUGCCUCUCUGGUUUCUGGUGGACAGCUGCCAAUCUUUGACAGUCCUUGGUGUGCAGCUGGAUCAUCCAAGCCUCUGCCUUUGCUGUCACAUGGUGUUCUCCUUGUGUGUCUUCACAUUCUCUGUGCAUGUAUGUCUCAGAGUCCAAAUUUCCCUUUUGGAAGACAGCAAAUAUUAAGUGUUUUUCUAAAAACUCCACCCUUUUCUAAAGCAAGGCUAUUAAUUAUUGGUGCAUAUACACAGUGAUCACUAAAUAAGCCUACAAUACAUACAAUGACAACUUAAUUAGGGCUUUUCAAAUGGACUUCUUUGCUCAUCCAGUGCGACACACACUUAACUUCCAUACAACUUUAAGCUACAACCUCAUUACCAUUCUGCAUAAACUAAUUGACUCUUAGCGAUGAAAGCAGCCACAAAUAUGCUAGUCUGUGAAAGAGAGGGAGAUGUCCAAGGUGACUCAAGAGCUAGUGACAGCCAAGACAAGAACACAAAUGACUCUCUCCCUUGUUGGAAAGUUGUAAAAAAAGAAGACUGCAAAAUUGUGGACAUAAGAAAGACUAAUGAGACCAUGGCAAGAAUAAUUGUUAACAGUGCAAGCAUGGUUUCCAAGAGACCUUGACUCUACAUUACAGAUGCCUUAUACCCUCUGUAAGUCACCAACCCAGAGGGAUCUUUUAAUGGUGAUAAUGAUAAAGAGAAAUUCUGUCAACCUCUCACAUUCCAAAUGGCCACUUUAAUGACUAGUACUGUCUUCUACCUGCGGAAAACAACAGAAAUUAAAAUAUGAAGACUUUCCCAGGUUAGGGAAGCCAUGUUUCAGGAAUAGGCAUCUUUUUUUAAAUCCUAGUUGAGGACUUAUGGUAAAGUACAAAGAAUCAUCCCAUACACUUCAAUGUCAGUUGUAUUUCACAUUUUGAAAUGCUUGUUAGAGUUAAGGAGACUGGAGAAAUCCUAGGUUACAUGAUAAAAUGAGUUUUCAGAGAGCAAUGAGACAGUUUAUUGAUCAGCUGAUUAUCUUGCUAUGUCUUAUGAGGAG
rnacentral:lncRNA from 1 species